UCCCGUUUAGCUCAGUUGGUAGAGCGCGUCACUAGUAUGUAGUUGUCGAUGGUGAGAUGGUCAUGCCAUGACGAGGUCAGUCGUUCAAAUCGGCUAAUGGGAA
rfam:Postia placenta Mad-698-R POSPLscaffold_101_Cont4666, whole genome shotgun sequence.